GACGAACGCUGGCGGCGUGCUUAACACAUGCAAGUCGAACGGAAAGGCCCUGCUUUUGUGGGGUGCUCGAGUGGCGAACGGGUGAGUAACACGUGAGUAACCUGCCCUUGACUUUGGGAUAACUUCAGGAAACUGGGGCUAAUACCGGAUAGGAGCUCCUGCUGCAUGGUGGGGGUUGGAAAGGUUCUGCGGUUGGGGAUGGACUCGCGGCUUAUCAGCUUGUUGGUGGGGUAGUGGCUUACCACGGCUUUGACGGGUAGCCGGCCUGAGAGGGUGACCGGCCACAUUGGGACUGAGAUACGGGCCAGCAUCCUACGGGAGUCAGCAGUGGGGAAUAUUGCACAAUGGGCGGAAGCCUGAUGCAGCAACGCCGCGUGCGGGAUGACGGCCUUCGGGUUGUAAACCGCUUUCGCCUGUGACGAAGCGUGAGUGACGGUAAUGGGUAAAGAAGCACCGGCUAACUACGUG
rnacentral:rRNA from 1 species